rnacentral:lncRNA from 1 species
GGGAGAAUUAAGGGGAGAAAUAUUUUACAAUUUAAAAAUUGGUAUUGGUACAGGUACUUCUAACUUUGUGGUUGUCUAUUAGCUUGUAUGUGUUGCAGGAAAACUAGAGUUGCUUUUAAAAGUGAAUUUUUGAUCAUCAUCAAAAAGGGGGAGAUUGUUACCAAUAAGGAGUAUUGGUAAAACCUGAAGAAUUGUUUUGAUGAUGCUGCAAGAAGUAUU